GCUAUGGCGGUAUAUUGUCUGGGAGGUUUACAGUCGAAGUUUGGUCUGGGUCGGGGAAUGUUUUGGCGGGUAGGUGGCGACGGGUAGUGAGAAGUCUGGUAUUGUAUGCUUGGUACACAGGUGCGGGUUGGGAAUAUCUGGGGUAAGUGGGUUGAUACGUUGGUGGUGGAGGUGAUUGGUAAGUGGGUGGCAGAAUUUGGUAAGUGGAUGAUGGUGCUUGGUAGUUUAGGGUAGGUUUAUAUGUGAGUGGAGCUGAGGGAUAGGUUUGGUACUUCAUAGGGG
rnacentral:lncRNA from 1 species